rnacentral:rRNA from 1 species
CGUGAGUUGGGUUCAGAACGUCGCGAGACAGUUCGGUCCAUAUCCGGCAUGGGCGUUAGAGUAUUGAGAGUGGCCUUUCUCUAGUACGAGAGGACCGAGAAAGACAUACCUCUAGUGUACCAGUUAUUGUGCCAUCGGUAGACGCUGGGUAGCUAUGUAUGGUUUGGAUAACCGCUGAAGGCAUCUAAGUGGGAAGCCGU